CAGCCGCCACGGUAAUACGUAGGGUGCAAGCGUUAAUCGGAAUUACUGGGCGUAAAGCGUGCGCAGGCGGUUUGUUAAGACAGAUGUGAAAUCCCCGGGCUCAACCUGGGAACUGCAUUUGUGACUGGCAAGCUAGAGUGUGGCAGAGGGGGGUGGAAUUCCGCGUGUAGCAGUGAAAUGCGUAGAUAUGCGGAGGAACACCGAUGGCGAAGGCAGCCCCCUGGGCCAACACUGACGCUCAUGCACGAAAGCGUGGGGAGCAAACAGGAUUAGAUACCCCUGUAGUCCCUGUCUCUUAUAC
rnacentral:rRNA from 1 species